AGUGAACGCUGGCGGUAGGCCUAACACAUGCAAGUCGAACGGCAGCACAGUAAGAGCUUGCUCUUACGGGUGGCGAGUGGCGGACGGGUGAGGAAUACAUCGGAAUCUACUUUUUCGUGGGGGAUAACGUAGGGAAACUUACGCUAAUACCGCAUACGACCUACGGGUGAAAGCAGGGGAUCUUCGGACCUUGCGCGAUUGAAUGAGCCGAUGUCGGAUUAGCUAGUUGGCGUGGUAAAGGCCCACCAAGGCGACGAUCCGUAGCUGGUCUGAGAGGAUGAUCAGCCACACUGGAACUGAGACACGGUCCAGACUCCUACGGGAGGCAGUAGUGGGGAAUAUUGGACAAUGGGCGCAAGCCUGAUCCAGCCAUACCGCGUGGGUGAAGAAGGCCUUCGGGUUGUAAAGCCCUUUUGUUGGGAAAGAAAAGCAGCAGGUUAAUACCCCGCUGUUCUGACGGUACCCAAAGAAUAAGCACCGGCUAACUUCGUG
rnacentral:rRNA from 1 species